rnacentral:rRNA from 1 species
GAUGAACGCUGGCGGCGUGCCUAAUACAUGCAAGUCGAGCGAACAGACGAGGAGCUUGCUCCUCUGACGUUAGCGGCGGACGGGUGAGUAACACGUGGAUAACCUACCUAUAAGACUGGGAUAACUUCGGGAAACCGGAGCUAAUACCGGAUAAUAUAUUGAACCGCAUGGUUCAAUAGUGAAAGACGGUUUUGCUGUCCCUUAUAGAUGGAUCCGCGCCGCAUUAGCUAGUUGGUAAGGUAACGGCUUACCAAGGCGACGAUGCGUAGCCGACCUGAGAGGGUGAUCGGCCACACUGGAACUGAGACACGGUCCAGACUCCUACGGGAGGCAGCAGUAGGGAAUCUUCCGCAAUGGGCGAAAGCCUGACGGAGCAACGCCGCGUGAGUGAUGAAGGUCUUCGGAUCGUAAAACUCUGUUAUUAGGGAAGAACAAAUGUGUAAGUAACUAUGCACGUCUUGACGGUACCUAAUCAGAAAGCCACGGCUAACUACGU